CCUUUCAGUUUUGCCCUGCAUGGGUGUUGGUCUGCUCAAGGCUGAGCAAAGCCCCGCUGGACUUUGUUUUCUGCCCCUCCUCUGCUUCCCAGGGUGAGAAGCCGGCAGCAGACACAGACGAUGGCUUCCGGCCACACCACGGGCAGGAGCCAGGCUUGUCAGCUAACUGGACCUGGUCGUGGCUGCUGGAGCUUUCCAUUCUCAUUCCCCAAGGAGCCAAGGUUGCCAGGAACCUUCACACCCCUUGCUUCUGGGCUCAGAGGAGGCACCGGCACACACUAGCGCACCCUCUCAGAGUGCAGGCAUGAAGCCAGCAUCCAUGGGGAGGAACCUACUGGGGAAAACACCCCAGCGGUUCCCUGUGUGCACUGCAAAGAGGACAUGGAACCUCCCGCCUCGGGCUGGCCGCCAGGGGAGCAGGCCCUGCCAGGAGGUGACAGAGGCCAUGCCAGGACACCACCCAAGCCUGCUCUGGCAUUCCCUGUGAUACCAGCUGGCAGUGGCCAGCCUUUGCCCUUAGGAGCACUCACACGACGGUCCAAACCAUUAGCUGCCACGAGAGCCGCAUUGCUAGUGACAGGCGACCACAGCAGGGCAAGAAGUGCCAGCCACCAGGCAGGUGUGGAGGACUCCAUCCUGUGGCUCUUCUCCGAAGGCACAGCAUUUUUCUUCCCCUCCCAAUUAACCUCCCAGGGACACAUCCUGAAGGACUGGAUCUGUCACGAGAAGUGACAAGACGGGAUCUGUGGAGCCGGCCGCCGCCGAGCAGGGGCUGGAAUCCGAGGCGGUGUUUCCUGGCAGGUCAUUUGCAUGGUUUGCCUGACUUCAGCAGAAAUGCACGGCAGAUAACCCAGAGCCGCGCGGGCACCUGCAAUUGAAGAAUUCAGAAUCACAAGUAAUGGGUCUAAAUUGGCAGGCUUUCAUGAGAGUCCCACCAAUCUUCAAGCAUACAGCUGCCAUGGGUCACGUAAAAUGGUUUCCUGGAGUCUAUUUCUGAGGGCACCCCUGUGUCGUUGUUGGCCAUAUUUCUUUGUUCUCCAAAUUUCCUACGAUACAGUAAUGUUUCCUGCUUUUGGAAGUUAGAGCCUGGUGCGAGCCCCUACGGACCAAAAUUUGGUAGUGACUGGUGCCUUGGGAAAUUCGGACUGUUGGCCUGCCAGUUAAAGACAUGCAGAUUUCACAGUGGUUGGAUUGUAGAAAAUUCUGUCUGGGAAGAGAGAGGAAGGAAGAAAUGCUUUUCAAGAGUGUUCAACAACCUGAAUUUGCAUUUGUUUGCUAGAACAAAAAGUUGGCUGGUGAGUUAAUGGACUGAUAAUUAUACUGUACCUCGAUCAACAUGUUCUCAGGGGGCUGAUAAAUAAAAAUAAAGAUCUUUGCCCCAAGAUCAUACGUAUCCUGGACCUGCUUGAUAGAGGUUAAUAAAAUUAGUGAGCAAGAUAAAUGAGCAGGGAGACUGGUGCACGCUUCUUUGAUUUUGUCUAAGAGAGCCAUGAAAAUAAAACUCUGGGGCCCAUUCCAUCUUAAUCACGGCAGACACUGAGCGGGCCUCCCACUUCGCUGCGUCAGCCUGAUCGCUCGGAAUGGACCGGGGCACAAGUAAGCAUAUUUGACGAAAACUUUGUGAUAAAUGACUUUCAAAAAAUUGGAGUCCUGUGUGAUUGGUGGUCUGCCAUAACUAAGCCUUUUUCCAAAGGUUUCUCCAAUGAAGAAAUAGCAAUGACCCUUAAAUUUAGCUGUUAAAAUCAUAGAUGGAUUGCAUAGAACAACGAAUUGGGUGAGUAUUAACUUUAGGAAGGUUGAUUUGAAAUUCCAUGACUCAUAUCAU